AGCGCAGGUGGAUUUGCAAGUCAAGUGUGAAAGGCAUGGGCUCAACCCAUGGACUGCGCUUGAUACUGCAGAUCUUGAGUGGAGUAGGGGCAGGCGGAAUUCCCGGUGUAGCGGUGGAAUGCGUAGAUAUCGGGAGGAAUACCGGUAGCGAAGGCGGCCUGCUGGGCUCUAACUGACACUGAGGCUCGAAAGCGUGGGUAGCAAACA
rnacentral:rRNA from 1 species